rnacentral:rRNA from 1 species
CUCCCAGACUCCUACGGGAGGCAGCAGUGGGGGAUAUUGCACAAUGGGGGGAACCCUGAUGCAGCGACGCCGCGUGGGUGAAGGAGCGUUUCGGCGCGUAAAGCCCUAUCGGCAGGGAAGAAGGAGGACGGUACCUGACUAAGAAGCCCCGGCUAACUACGUGCCAGCAGCCGCGGUAAUACGUAGGGGGCAAGCGUUAUCCGGAUUUACUGGGUGUAAAGGGAGCGUAGACGGCUGCGCAAGUCAGAAGUGAAAGCCCGGGGCUCAACCGCGGGACUGCUUUUGAAACUGUGUAGCUAGAGUGCAGGAGAGGUAAGUGGAAUUCCUAGUGUAGCGGUGAAAUGCGUAGAUAUUAGGAGGAACACCAGUGGCGAAGGCGGCUUGCUGGACAGAGACUGACGUUGAGGCUCGAAAGCGUGGGGAGCAAACAGGAUUAGAUACCCCCGUA